AUUGAACGCUGGCGGCAGGCCUAACACAUGCAAGUCGAGCGGAUGAAGGGAGCUUGCUCCUGGAUUCAGCGGCGGACGGGUGAGUAAUGCCUAGGAAUCUGCCUGGUAGUGGGGGAUAACGUCCGGAAACGGGCGCUAAUACCGCAUACGUCCUGAGGGAGAAAGUGGGGGAUCUUCGGACCUCACGCUAUCAGAUGAGCCUAGGUCGGAUUAGCUAGUUGGUGGGGUAAAGGCCUACCAAGGCGACGAUCCGUAACUGGUCUGAGAGGAUGAUCAGUCACACUGGAACUGAGACACGGUCCAAACUCCUACAGGAGGCAACAGUGGGGAAUAUUGGACAAUGGGCGAAAGCCUGAUCCAGCCAUGCCGCGUGUGUGAAGAAGGUCUUCGGAUUGUAAAGCACUUUAAGUUGGGAGGAAGGGCAGUAAGUUAAUACCUUGCUGUUUUGACGUUACCAACAGAAUAAGCACCGGCUAACUUCGUG
rnacentral:rRNA from 1 species